GACGUAGGGCGCGAGCGUUGUCCGGAUUUAUUGGGCGUAAAGAGCUCGUAGGCGGCUUGUCGCGUCGACUGUGAAACCCGCGGCUUAACCAUGUGGUCUGCAGUCGAUACGGGCAGGCUAGAAUUCGGUAGGGGAGACUGGAAUUCCUGGUGUAGCGGUGAAAUGCGCAGAUAUCAGGAGGAACACCGGUGGCGAAGGCGGGUCUCUGGGCCGAUAUUGACGCUGAGGAGCGAAAGCGUGGGGAGCAAACAGG
rnacentral:rRNA from 1 species